AGCAGCCGCGGUAAUUCCAGCUCCAAUAGCGUAUAUUAAAGUUGUUGCAGUUAAAAAGCUCGUAGUUGAAUUUCGGGGUUAGUAGGUUGGUCAUGCCUCUGGUAUGUACUGGUCUCACUGAUUCCUCCUUCCUGAUGAGCCGUAAUGCCAUUAAUUUGGUGUUGCGGGGAAUUUGGACUGUUACUUUGAAAAAUUAGAGUGUUUAAAGCAAGCUAACGCUUGAAUACAUUAGCAUGGAAUAAUGAAAUAGGACGUUCGAUCCUAUUUUGUUGGUUUCUAGGAUUGACGUAAUGAUUAAUAGGGAUAGUUGGGGGCAUUAGUAUUCAAUUGUCAGAGGUGAAAUUCUUGGAUUUAUUGAAGACUAACUACUGCGAAAGCAUUUGCCAAGGAUGUUUUCAUUAAUCAAGAACGAAAGUUAGGGAUCGAAGACGAUCAGAUACCGUCGUAGUCUUAACCAUAAACUAUGCCGACUAGGGAUCGGAUGAUGUUUAAUUUUUUAAUGUACUCAUUCGGCGCCUUA
rnacentral:misc_RNA from 1 species